GACGAACCGUGCGAACGUUGUUCGGAUUCACUGGGCUUAAAGGGCGCGUAGGCGGCUCGCCAAGUCAGGGGUGAAAUCAUUCGGCCCAACCGGAUAAGGGCCCCUGAUACUGGCGGGCUCGAGGGGGGUAGGGGCAUGCGGAACUUCCGGUGGAGCGGUGAAAUGCGUAGAUAUCGGAAGGAACGCCGGUGGCGAAAGCGGCGUGCUGGACCCCUCCUGACGCUGAGGCGCGAAAGCCAGGGGAGCAAACGGG
rnacentral:rRNA from 1 species